AUGGCCGCUCAAUCCAUGUCCGCACGUAUCCCUAUCUUCACACUCAUACUACUCUCAGCCGUCUCGGCUUCUUCUUCCAGUCCGACCACCAACAGCAACGGGAGCGACACCGACCUUGCCGCGCUGCUGGCUUUUAAAGCCCAGCUCGCCGAUCCUCUCCGCAUCCUUGCCACCAACUGGACCACCGGCACGUCUUUCUGCCAUUGGAUUGGUGUUUCAUGCAGUCGGCGAAGGCAACGUGUCACUGCUCUAUCGUUCAACGGCAUGCCUCUCGUUGGCUCUUUGGCACCUCAUGUUGGUAACCUCUCUUUUCUCUCUGUCCUCAAUCUCACCCGCACCAAUCUCACGGGCUCCAUUCCAGCCGAACUUGGUAGGCUACAUCGUCUUAUGCAUCUCCGUCUCUCAAGUAAUAGCCUGUCGAAUGCUAUACCUACUUCCCUAGGGAACCUCACAAGGCUCGAGUACCUUGGUCUAUCUCUGAACCAACUCUCAGGCCAGAUCCCUUUUGAGAUGUUGUUGCAUAUGCACAACCUUAAGGUGAUUGCUCUGGCCGCAAAUGACUUGACUGGUCAAAUUCCACCACAUUUGUUCAAUAACACGCCUUCCUUGACGGUCAUCGAUUUUGGAAAUAAUAGCCUGUCAGGUCCUAUACCAAACACCAUUGCAUCUCUAUCCAUGCUUCAGUUCUUCAGCCUACAAAUUAAUCAAUUCUCUGGCCUGGUGCCACAAGCCAUUUACAACAUGUCUAGCCUACAAAGCAUGAUACUCACAGGAAAUGGUAACUUAACUGGAAUGUUUCCGAGGAAUCAAAGUUUCAACCUCCCAAUGUUGCAACGCUUUUCGCUUGAUGAUAACAACUUUUAUGGUCAAUUUCCGGUAGGGCUUGCAUCAUGCCAGAACCUGCAGGUAAUUGAUCUGGGUAGAAAUUCCUUUGUGGAUGUUUUGCCAACAUGGUUAGCCAAUUUGCCAUACCUUGAAAUACUAUUCUUGGGUUUUAGUGGCCUUAUUGGUUCAAUCCCAGAUGCUCUUAGCAAUAUCACCAGUCUUACUGAUCUGGACAUCUCAAACGGAAACCUCACAGGAGAGAUUCCACCAGAAUUAGGUCUUAUGCAUGAACUCUCGUAUAUGUACCUUGGAGGCAAUCAAUUGACUGGUAAAAUUCCAGCUUCCUUUGGCAACCUGUCCAAUUUGUAUUUCCUUUCUUUGGAAAGUAAUCAGUUGUCCAGUCUAGUACCAACAACAAUUGGAGAAAAUUCGGCUCUAGUCACGCUUGAUUUGUCAGGAAACAAUUUAGAGGGAAACAUAGACUUCUUAUCAGCUCUUUCCAAGUGCAGAGAACUCCAACUCCUUGUGAUACAAUCUAAUUAUUUCACAGGCGUCCUCCAUGGCCAUGUGGGGAACCUUAGUUCACAGCUAAUCACUUUUACUGCAGGUUACAACAAGUUAACUGGUGGAAUUCCAACAACAAUUUCAAACUUAACUAACCUUCAAUGGAUAGAUCUUAGUAACAACUUCUUCACCGAGCCAAUCUCAGAAUCCAUCGGUAUGUUGGAAAAUCUGGUAUGGCUCGAUAUCUCUUACAAUGAAAUGUUAGGCCCUAUCCCAACACAAAUAGGUAUGCUUGGGAGACUACAACGUUUGUUUCUCCAAGGAAACAAAAUUUUAGGCUCCAUACCAAAUAACUUUGGUAAUCUAAGUUCGUUAGAAUACAUCGACUUGUCCAGUAACAAUUUAAAUUCCAUGAUACCCGCGAGCUUUUUCCACCUAGAUAAACUUAUCAAACUAGAUUUUUCUCAUAAUUCCUUUGUUGGUGCAUUACCAGUUGAUGUUUCUGGUCUAAGACAAACAAAUUACAUGGACGUUUCUUCCAACUUCUUGAUUGGAAGCAUCCCAAAUUCAUUCGGACAACUUAAUAUGCUAACCUACCUAAAUUUGUCACAUAACUCUUUCAAUAGCUCAAUUCCUUCCCCUCUUGAAAAGCUAAAAAGUUUAGCAUCAUUAGACCUCUCAUUUAACAAUCUCUCUGGCACUAUUCCCAUGUUCCUUGCCAACUUGACCUACUUGACUACCUUGAACCUCUCAUUCAAUAGUCUAGAAGGCCAAAUACCCGAGGGGGGUGUUUUCUCAAACCUCACCUCACAAUCUUUGAUUGGAAAUAUCGGGCUAUGUGGGGACACACGCCUAAGAUUUCCACCAUGCCUCGACAGAUCUCCCUCAAGUAAAAGGCACUUGCUUCAAUUUCUACUCCCAAUACUUGCAUUAGCUUUCGCCAUUGCCAUUUUUGUAUUCAUAUGGACUCGAAGGAAACUUAAGAAAGCAGAUGGUGAAACUUCUGUUGAUCCAACUAAUGUCUUAGGACAUCAGAUUAUCUCCUAUCGUGAGCUUAUUCGUGCCACUAAUGAUUUUAGUGAAGAAAACUUAUUGGGAUUCGGAAGCUUUGGAAAAGUAUUUAAGGGUCAAUUGAGCAAUGGUUCGGUUGUGGCGAUAAAAGUUAUUGACAUGCGGCUGGAGCAUGCCAUCCGAAGUUUUGAUGCCGAGUGUCAAGUGCUUCGCAUGGUGCGACACCGCAAUCUGAUAAAGAUACUCAACACAUGUUCCAACCUUGACUUCAGAGCACUAGUGCUUCAGUACAUGCCCAAUGGCAACUUAGAGAUGCUCCUACACAUGUCUCGGAGUACAAGGUGCUUGGGAUUUCUUGAAAGACUAAGCAUCAUGCUCGAUGUGUCGAUGGCAAUGAAUUAUCUACACCACGAGCACUACGAGCUUAUAUUGCAUUGUGACCUAAAGCCUAGCAAUGUGCUGUUUGAUGAGGAGAUGACGGCGCAUGUGGCAGACUUUGGGAUUGCAAGAUUGCUUCUAGAUGACAGCUCCAUGAUAAGUGAAAGCAUGCCUGGAACAGUUGGGUACAUGGCACCAGAGUAUGGGUCGCUUGGAAAAGCAUCAAGGAAGAGCGAUGUGUUUAGUUAUGGAAUCAUGAUCCUUGAGGUCUUCACUAGAAGGAGACCCACUGAUGCUACAUUCGGUGCACAACUAAACCUUAGGCAAUGGGUUCAUCGUGCAUUUCCCGCAGAGCUUGUCCAGGUCAUUGAUGGCCAGCUACUGCAAGACUCCUCUCUUUCUAGUUGCGGCUUGGACAAUGGCUUUCUUGAGUCGGUAUUUGAGCUAGGUUUGGUCUGUACCAGUGACUCGCCUAACCAGAGGAUGACUAUGCAUGAUGUGGUUGUGGCGCUGAAGAAGAUCAAAGCCGAGUACACCAAACAUGCAACAAAGAUGUCACCUUAUGCUACACAAUGA
rnacentral:rRNA from 1 species